GUACUCACUUCACCAGCACAGAUACUAAAAUUGGAACAAUACAGAGAUGAUUAGCAUGGCCCCUGCACAAGGAUGACACACAAAUUCGUGAAGGUUUUCAUGUUUUU
rnacentral:snRNA from 1 species